rnacentral:rRNA from 1 species
CACGUAGGGCGCGAGCGUUGUCCGGAAUUAUUGGGCGUAAAGAGCUCGUAGGCGGCCUGUUGCGUCCGCUGUGAAAGCCCGGGGCUUAACCCCGGGUCGGCAGUGGAUACGGGCAGGCUAGAGGUAGGUAGGGGAGAAUGGAAUUCCCGGUGUAGCGGUGAAAUGCGCAGAUAUCGGGAGGAACUCCGGUGGCGAAGGCGGUUCUCUGGGCCUUACCUGACGCUGAGGAGCGAAAGCGUGGGGAGCGAACAGG